GAGAACCUGUCCUGCCCAAUCCUGCCUAAUUAUGCGCAACGUUAUGAACAUAUAAUUACAUAUACCAAAGUACAUUGAUUUUUUUUUUCUUUUUAGAAAUUAUUAGAUUAAUAUUAGUACAAAAUGCUUUCUCUCCAGUGGACAGCAAUGGCACCAUUUGUAGUUUCCACCAGUCGGAGAAAUUUACAGAGAAUUCUUUUUGGUGGUAUCGUACCAUCUGGCAUAAACAUAUCGUAAUGCGAUAUUCCUGCUUUUGUAAAACUAUUGGAUAAUAACAAUUAUAAAUAUAUUAUUAUUAUUAUUAUUAUUAUUAUUCAAGGUAUAUAUAUAUAAAUCAGCUGAUUUAGUUUA